rnacentral:rRNA from 1 species
GCGUCGAGCGGCGGACGGGUGAGUAAUGCCUAGGAAAUUGCCCUGAUGUGGGGGAUAACCAUUGGAAACGAUGGCUAAUACCGCAUGAUGCCUACGGGCCAAAGAGGGGGACCUUCGGGCCUCUCGCGUCAGGAUAUGCCUAGGUGGGAUUAGCUAGUUGGUGAGGUAAGGGCUCACCAAGGCGACGAUCCCUAGCUGGUCUGAGAGGAUGAUCAGCCACACUGGAACUGAGACACGGUCCAGACUCCUACGGGAGGCAGCAGUGGGGAAUAUUGCACAAUGGGCGCAAGCCUGAUGCAGCCAUGCCGCGUGUGUGAAGAAGGCCUUCGGGUUGUAAAGCACUUUCAGUCGUGAGGAAGGUGGUAGUGUUAAUAGCUGUAUCAUUUGACGUUAGCGACAGAAGAAGCACCGGCUAACUCCGUGCCAGCAGCCGCGGUAAUACGGAGGGUGCGAGCGUUAAUCGGAAUUACUGGGCGUAAAGCGCAUGCAGGUGGUUUGUUAAGUCAGAUGUGAAAGCCCGGGGCUCAACCUCGGAAUAGCAUUUGAAACUGGCAGACUAGAGUACUGUAGAGGGGGGUAGAAUUUCAGGUGUAGCGGUGAAAUGCGUAGAGAUCUGAAGGAAUACCGGUGGCGAAGGCGGCCCCCUGGACAGAUACUGACACUCAGAUGCGAAAGCGUGGGGAGCAAACAGGAUUAGAUACCCUGGUAGUCCACGCCGUAAACGAUGUCUACUUGGAGGUUGUGGCCUUGAGCCGUGGCUUUCGGAGCUAACGCGUUAAGUAGACCGCCUGGGGAGUACGGUCGCAAGAUUAAAACUCAAAUGAAUUGACGGGGGCCCGCACAAGCGGUGGAGCAUGUGGUUUAAUUCGAUGCAACGCGAAGAACCUUACCUACUCUUGACAUCCAGAGAACUUUCCAGAGAUGGAUUGGUGCCUUCGGGAACUCUGAGACAGGUGCUGCAUGGCUGUCGUCAGCUCGUGUUGUGAAAUGUUGGGUUAAGUCCCGCAACGAGCGCAACCCUUAUCCUUGUUUGCCAGCGAGUAAUGUCGGGAACUCCAGGGAGACUGCCGGUGAUAAACCGGAGGAAGGUGGGGACGACGUCAAGUCAUCAUGGCCCUUACGAGUAGGGCUACACACGUGCUACAAUGGCGCAUACAGAGGGCGGCCAACUUGCGAAAGUGAGCGAAUCCCAAAAAGUGCGUCGUAGUCCGGAUUGGAGUCUGCAACUCGACUCCAUGAAGUCGGAAUCGCUAGUAAUCGUGGAUCAGAAUGCCACGGUGAAUACGUUCCCGGGCCUU